AUGCUUAUUGAUGUUGCUAGUGAGAAAGUGAAAGGGCUAAUUUCUUUCUUCGAGGGGUACAGGGAAACUGGUUUCUUAGAAGCAUUGGAAAUAGCCAAAGAAAUUGCACUUGAGAUGGAUAUUGGUGCAACAUUUCGUAAAAGGAGAGAAAUUAAAAGAAAGAAACAGUAUGAUGAGAACCCAGACGACACAAAUAGUGCCACACGGUCUGCAGAGGAAUCAUUUAGAAUCAACUAUUUUACACCAAUUGUCGAUCAAGCAAUUUCCUCACUCACAAGGAGAUUUGAGCAAUAUCAAGGUUACCAGAAAAUUUUUGGUUUCUUAUUUACCUCUAAAAACAUUGCAUUCAUCGGAUAA
rnacentral:rRNA from 1 species